GGCUGAUGAAGAUAACUACGUGAAAAUGUAGCUAAGAGAGAACAGAAUAAGACGUAGGACUAUCAGUUAGUUGGUAGUGUAAUGGACUACCAAGACGAUGACGGGUAACGGGGAAUCAGGGUUUGAUACCGGAGAGGGAGCCUGAGAGAUAGCUCCCACGUCCAUGGACGGCAGCAGGCGCGAAAAUUGCCCACUCUUUGUAGGAGGCAGUUAUGAGACGUGAAAUUGAAUAUUUUGUAAAGAAGAAUAGGAGAAUUGGAGGGCAAGUUUGGUGCCAGCCGCCGCGGUAAUACCGACUCCAAGAGUGUGUAUGAGAGAUGCUGCAGUUAAAAAGUCCGUAGUCAUAGAAAGAUAAAUAGGGAUGAGAAGUCUCUUAAAUUAGCUAUAGAAAAGCCGAAGGA
rnacentral:rRNA from 1 species